rnacentral:rRNA from 1 species
GGCGAACGCUGGCGGCGUGCUUAACACAUGCAAGUCGAACGGAAAGGCCCUGCUUUUGUGGGGUGCUCGAGUGGCGAACGGGUGAGUAACACGUGAGUAACCUGCCCUUGACUUUGGGAUAACGUCAGGAAACUGGGGUUAAUACCGGAUAGGAUCUCCUGCUGCAUGGUGGGGGUUGGAAAGGUUCGGCGGUUGGGGAUGGACUCGCGGCUUAUCAGCUUGUUGGUGGGGUAGUGGCUUACCAAGGCUUUGACGGGUAGCCGGCCUGGGGGGGUGACCGGCCAAAUGGGGCCGGGGAUAGGGCCCGAACUCCUACGGGAGGAAGCAGUGGGAAAUAUUGAACAUUGGGCGGAGGCCGGAUGAAGCAACGCGGGGGGCGGAAGAACGGCCUUCGGGUGGUAAACCGCUUUCGCCUGUGACGAAGCGUGAGUGACGGUAAUGGGUGAAGAAGCACCGGCUAACUACGUG